UACAGAGGUCCCAAGCGUUGUUCGGAUUCACUGGGCGUAAAGGGUGCGUAGGCGGGUGGAUAAGUCUGCUGUGAAAGCUCCGAGCUUAACUCGGAAAUUGCAGUGGAAACUGUUCAUCUAGAGGUGUGGAGGGGGACUGGAAUUCUCGGUGUAGCAGUGAAAUGCGUAGAGAUCGAGAGGAACACCAGUGGCGAAGGCGAGUCCCUGGACACCACCUGACGCUGAGGCACGAAAGCUAGGGGAGCAAACAGG
rnacentral:rRNA from 1 species